rnacentral:rRNA from 1 species
AUGCCCGACGGCCAGAGAUGGCUCGCGCGGUGCUCUACGCAUCGAUGGUCUCCAUGCCCGGUGCCAGGUUGGCCCAGCUCGGCGUGCCCCUAUGGCUGCAUUCCUAUUCUGCAACACUACCAGCAAAAGGAGCAAGCCUGGGGCGUUCAACAAUUGUUACUUCAUCCCCUCUCCAUGCUUCGACCCGCCAAAUCCCAUCAGGAAACAUUUUUUCAAAGGAAAAGGGUCUCUGAUGGACGCGUGCGGGCUGGGGGUUUCCCUGGCGAACGAAUUCAUGCAAGGGAUCGACCCCCUCCUACUGAACGAGUCGUGUGGGGUAGGGUGGUCCUCCCGCCACACGUGUGGGCAGUUUUAAUAUUCGCCCACACAGAAUCGUGUGGGAUGCAAUUGGAUAUGCCACACGGUUGUGUGGGCGGGUGUCUAUUGUGUCACACGUGUGGCAGUUAUCGGCGUCCAAAAAAAUGUAGUCUAUUGUGUCACACGUGUGGCAGUUAUCGGCGUCAAAAAAAUGUAAUAAAAAGAGUGUUCUCUUUUUUCCUCAAAAAAGAAGAGUGUUGUUUUCUUUAG